UUUAAAGAGAGUUUGAUCCUGGCUCAGGACGAACGCUGGCGGCGUGCCUAAUACAUGCAAGUCGAACGAACGGAGGAAGAGCUUGCUCUUCCAAUGUUAGUGGCGGACGGGUGAGUAACACGUGGGCAACCUGCCUGUAAGUUGGGGAUAACUCCGGGAAACCGGGGCUAAUACCGAAUGAUAAAGUGUGGCGCAUGCCACGCUUUUGAAAGAUGGUUUCGGCUAUCGCUUACAGAU
rnacentral:rRNA from 1 species